rnacentral:rRNA from 1 species
UCGACGGGAACGAAUGAAACCUAGUGAUUUCUGUUUCAGUGGCGGACGGGUGAGUAACGCGUGGGUAACCUGCCUUGCACUGGGGGAUAACACUUAGAAAUAGGUGCUAAUACCGCAUAAGCGCACAAUACCGCAUGGUAGAGUGUGAAAAACUCCGGUGGUGCAAGAUGGACCCGCGUCUGAUUAGCCAGUUGGCGGGGUAACGGCCCACCAAAGCGACGAUCAGUAGCCGGCCUGAGAGGGUGAACGGCCACAUUGGGACUGAGACACGGCCCAAACUCCUACGGGAGGCAGCAGUGGGGAAUAUUGCACAAUGGGGGAAACCCUGAUGCAGCAACGCCGCGUGAGUGAAGAAGUCAUUCGUGAUGUAAAGCUCUAUCAGCAGGGAAGAAAAUGACGGUACCUGACUAAGAAGCCCCGGCUAACUACGUGCCAGCAGCCGCGGUAAUACGUAGGGGGCAAGCGUUAUCCGGAUUUACUGGGUGUAAGGGGAGCGUAGACGGCGAGACAAGUCUGAAGUGAAAUGCCAGUGCUCAACACUGGAACUGCUUUGGAAACUGCCUGGCUGGAGUGCGGGAGAGGUAAGUGGAAUUCCUAGUGUAGCGGUGAAAUGCGUAGAUAUUAGGAGGAACACCAGUGGCGAAGGCGGCUUACUGGACCGUAACUGACGUUGAGGCUCGAAGGCGUGGGGAGCAAACAGGAUUAGAUACCCUGGUAGUCCACGCGGUAAACGAUGAUUAC